GAAUUCGCCCUUAGAGUUUGAUCCUGGCUCAGGACGAACGCUGGCGGCGCGCCUAACACAUGCAAGUCGAACGAGCGAGAGAGAGCUUGCUUUCUCGAGCGAGUGGCGAACGGGUGAGUAACGCGUGAGGAACCUGCCUCAAAGAGGGGGACAACAGUUGGAAACGACUGCUAAUACCGCAUAAGCCCACGACCCGGCAUCGGGUAGAGGGAAAAGGAGCAAUCCGCUUUGAGAUGGCCUCGCGUCCGAUUAGCUAGUUGGUGAGGUAACGGCCCACCAAGGCGACGAUCGGUAGCCGGACUGAGAGGUUGAACGGCCACAUUGGGACUGAGACACGGCCCAGACUCCUACGGGAGGCAGCAGUGGGGAAUAUUGCACAAUGGGGGAAACCCUGAUGCAGCGACGCCGCGUGGAGGAAGAAGGUCUUCGGAUUGUAAACUCCUGUUGUUGAGGAAGAUAAUGACGGUACUCAACAAGGAAGUGACGGCUAACUACGUGCCAGCAGCCGCGGUAAAACGUAGGUCACAAGCGUUGUCCGGAAUUACUGGGUGUAAAGGGAGCGCAGGCGGGAAGACAAGUUGGAAGUGAAAUCCAUGGGCUCAACCCAUGAACUGCUUUCAAAACUGUUUUUCUUGAGUAGUGCAGAGGUAGGCGGAAUUCCCGGUGUAGCGGUGGAAUGCGUAGAUAUCGGGAGGAACACCAGUGGCGAAGGCGGCCUACUGGGCACCAACUGACGCUGAGGCUCGAAAGUGUGGGUAGCAAACAAAAUUAGAUACCCUGGUAGUCCACACUGUAAACGA
rnacentral:rRNA from 1 species